rnacentral:tRNA from 1 species
GGGGGUUUGAGCUUGCCUGAGGGUGGCCCUUGCCUUCACACGGCAAGGGUCGCAGGUUCGAACCCUGCACCGCCCACCA